UAAUAUCAUUGAACCCAUUCUAUGUAACCAACUCUUGUUAGUUAUAAGUCGUACAAAUUUCUUUACUAAGUGAUGUCAUUGAUAUGAGAUAAGGAUCCUCGCUGUUUCUAAACGGUAUGUUCAUGGUGGACUUCGCAUACUGCCAUUUCCAUUCCUUGGGGAGGAUCCGGGAAAUUAUUUUAACGGAUGAUUUCGCCAGCGGGCAAUUCACAUGCGUUUUUUCUCUAUUAAAUGAGCUAAUAUCAAUAAAAUGGUGAACGAAUCGUUAACGAACAUGUUAGUAGAUUUGAAGAUGAAACGUAAUUGGAACACUGUCAUUCCAAGGAACAAGAAGUGUAUAUUCAAGGUCCGAACGUCGGUAUAUUUCUUUUCGGAUGACUCGCAAAAAAGCAGUACGCAACAGCAGUUAUAAAAAUCUUAUAAUUUUAUUCAACAAAAAAUUGUUUAAUUACGGAAGUUUGAAAAUUGUUUUAUAACAAUACCAUGCUAAAAUGACAACCAACAAAAAAAAAAAAAAAAAAAGAAACACCACUUUGCUACAAAUCUAAU